GAUGAACGCUGGCGGCGUGCCUAAUACAUGCAAGUCGAGCGAACAGAUGAGGAGCUUGCUCCUCUUCCGUUAGCGGCGGAAGGGUGAGUAACACGUGGAUAACCUACCUAUAAGACUGGGAUAACUUCGGGAAACCGGAGCGAAAACCGGAUAAUAUAUUGAACCGCAUGGUUCAAUAGUGAAAGACGGUUUUGCUGUCACUUAUAGAUGGAUCCGCGCCGCAUUAGCUAGUUGGUAAGGUAACGGCUUACCAAGGCAACGAUGCGUACCCGACCUGAGAGGGUGACGGGCCACAUUGGAACUGGGACACGCUCCAGACUCCUACGGGAGGAAGCGGUGGGGAACCUCCCGAAAUGGGCGAAAGCCUGCCGGGGAAACGCCGCGUGAGUAAUGAAGCUCUUCGGUUCGUAAACCUUUGUUAUUAGGGAAGAACAAAUGUGUAAGUAAAGAGGCACGUCUUGACGGUACCUAAUCAGAAAGCCACGGCUAACUACGUG
rnacentral:rRNA from 1 species